AAGAGGAUUGUGUAUGUGUAAGCAUUUUUGAUUGUGUACCAUUUUGCCCCCUGGGGUUAUGUUUAAUAACAAAGGCUAAUUCUAGUUGGUGCAAAUAUCAGGGUUCUUAAACAUUAGUUUUAUUCCACCUUAAAGCUGACUGCUUCUCCCUUGAGCACAAUUCUGAGGUUUCAUGGAAGUCAAGAACCCUGUGACAGUUGCUCUAAAUAUAACUUGCCAAGAUACAUGUUUGAUCUGUGUGGCAAAGCCAAGUUAUCUGGUCUGUGAAUAGGUAUUCCAUAAUUCCCCUGCUUACUACAGGCCUGGCUUCUAGAGCCUAAGCUUAUGUCAGAACUGUUGUCAUUUCAAAGAGCUAAACCUCUCCAAAUGGAGUUAAUGGAAACUCCUAAACUGCUUGUGCAGGGCUUGAGUGCAAUGAUUACAUUUAGGAUCCAGAUUUAGUGCCUCCACCUCCAUCUCUCUGUCUGCCUCCAGCUGAUCAAAGGAGCUUUUCCCAAAGAUGAAAAAGUGGUCAAAAUGGCCACUUCCCAAAUUUCAGGCACACUUGAAGAGUGUCAGGUGGAUGCAACCCAAGAGCCUUUUAUCAUGCUGCCCAGGAUGUGGAGGCUGAGACAUGAAACCAGUCACUGAUGACAUCAGUGUGUGGAGGCCCCAGAGAGCUGGAGGAGCAACUCUCCAGCUUUCCACGCACAAGAGGACCACUCUGGCUGCUUUGCUGGGAAGAGACUACAGUGAAGCAAUGUAGGAGAAGGGAGAACAGUUAAGAGCCCAUUACGAUGAGAAUUCAAGAUUAUAAUCGUCUGGACCAGAGUGAUAGCCAUGAAGAUGGUGAGACAUGGUUGGAUUCGAGAUGCUGUGCCUGAGGUCCAGAGAGUCAAAGGAACUUGCCCUUGGUCAUCCAGCCAGGAAGUGAGCCCCUAUUCAUGACCACCUCUCUUGUAAUUAGCCACUUUCAUGAUGAAUACCAUGGCAAGAAAGCUCCAAACCUCCUGUCUUUCAGAGUCACACCUUCCAAAAAGGUCUGGAGGAAGCCAGCUGCCAUGUGGUGAGGACAUCCCAGCAUUACUGUGGGGAGGCCCACAUGUAGCCAGUGAGGAACUGAGGCCUCCAGCUAACACCCCAUGAGGGAGCUUGAAGCAGCACCUCCAGACCCAGAUGACUGCACUGACAUCUUGACUACACUUUCAUGAGAAACCCGGAGUCAUAACCAUCCAGCUAAGCUGCUCCCAGAUUCCUGAUCCUGACAAAUCAUGUGAGAUAAAUAUUUGCUGUUCUAAGUCACUAAGUUUUGGGGUAAUUUGUUACACAGCCAUAGACACCAUGAUUUCCCCUAGCUUAGGAAGCCUGAAGACAGCAAUAGAAUAGAAGGAAGACAGUACUCGGAAGCACCUUAGAGGGGUUUUGGUAGAUUUCAGUUUCUCCACAAUGCCACACCCUGAACAAAGGAGAGUAAAAGGAGAGUAAAGCAAAGUGACUGCACCUUGUGGAAAUUCUGAUCAUGAAGGAUACAGUGCCAUCUGGGAGAAAGAGACCUGGCCCCAGGCUCCAUCCCAGCACCUCCAAAUUCCUGUGAGACCACCAGAAAGCUUCUUAAUUUUUCUAGGCCUUUGUUUAUCAAUAAAACUGCUAUACUACUUCCUCUUGAGUGAGGAAAAUGGAUACAGUCCACAUGAAAGGACUUCAGAAAGAGUUAAACCUGUUACACAACCCUUAGACAGUAACAACAUUAACAUCAUCACUCUCCACCCAGAGAUGGAGUGUAAGGGUUUGAGUUUUAUCUCCCACUCCCCGAAAUCAAACAUGAGGUCACUUGGGGACACAUGAAGACUCUAUAGCAUGAGGAGCAAACUCAAACACUCCUUGGGGCCCAGUGGGCAGCAUAAAUGUGUGAAGCAGGCUGGGGGAGGGAACAGUGAGGAAUGGUGGAACUGUGCCAAACUAGAGUGUU